rnacentral:rRNA from 1 species
UACGGGGGGGAGCAAGCGUUGUUCGGAUUUACUGGGCGUAAAGGGCGCGUAGGCGGUCGUGACAAGUCACUUGUGAAAUCUCCGGGCUUAACUCGGAACGGUCAAGUGAUACUGUCGGACUAGAGUACAGAAGGGGCAACUGGAAUUCUCGGUGUAGCGGUGAAAUGCGUAGAUAUCGAGAGGAACACCUGCGGCGAAGGCGGGUUGCUGGGCUGAUACUGACGCUGAGGAGCGAAAGCGUGGGGAGCGAACAGG